rnacentral:rRNA from 1 species
CAGCCGCCGCGGUAAUACGUAGGGGGCGAGCGUUACCCGGAUUUACUGGGCGUAAAGGGGGCGUAGGCGGCCGUGAAAGUCCGGUGUGAAAACUCACGGCUCAACCGUGGGACUGCGCUGGAAACUACACGGCUUGAGGACGGUAGAGGGAGACGGAACUGCUGGUGUAGGGGUGAAAUCCGUAGAUAUCAGCAGGAACGCCGGUGGAGAAGUCGGUCUCCUGGGCCGUUCCUGACGCUGAGGCCCGAAAGCUAGGGGAGCAAACCGGAUUAGAUACCCGGGUAGUCCUAGCCGUAAACGAUGCCCACUAGGUGUGGGGAAGUAAUUCCUCCGUGCUGAAGCUAACGCGAUAAGUGGGCCGCCUGGGGAGUAUGCCCGCAAGGGUGAAACUUAAAGGAAUUGGCGGG